AUGAGGAAAGUCUCUGACCCACUAGAUGACAGUCACCAUGAGGCCUUCCUUAAACAGCACUUUGAAACACUGGCUGAGCCCCGCAAUAUGGCAGAGCGCAGCAGAGCUUUCAGUAGCAGUAUGUCAGCACCAUUCCUGGCCAGAAGCUCAAACAACAGGUCCAUGAGAGGGAGCAGAGGCCUUUGAUGUCCAAGGUGAGACCCCUGAUAGAGGGGGCACAGGGGAAGGGCCACGAAGACAGGGAGAGGACCAUGUCCCCAGGGAGAGGACCAUGUCCCCAGGGAGAGGACCAUGUCCCCAGGGAGAGGACCAUGUCCCCAGGGAGAGGACCAUGUCCCCAGGGAGAGGACCAUGUCCCCAGGGAGAGGACCAUGUCCCCAGGGAGAGGACCAUGUCCCCAGGGAGAAGGCAGAAGG